GUCUUUUUGAUUAUAAUUUAAAGUCUGACCUGCCCACUGAAUAAUUAAAUGGCCGCAGUAUUUUGACUGUGCAAAGGUAGCAUAAUCAUUAGUUUUUUAAUUGAAAACUGGAAUGAAAGGUUUGAUAAAAAUAUAACUGUCUCUGAUUUAAUUUAUAGAAUUUUAUUUUUAAGUUCAAAAGCUUAAAUUAUAUUUAAAGACGAGAAGACCCUAUAGAGUUUAAUAAAAUUUUAUAUUAAUUUUAAUAAGAAUUUUAUAAUUUGAAUUUAAAAUUUUAUUUAAUUGGGGUGAUUGAAAAAUUUAAAUAACUUUUUUUUUAUUUUUACAUUAAUUUAUGAAUAAUUGAUCCAUAUUAAUGAUUUAUAGAAUAAAUUACCUUAGGGAUAACAGCGUAAUUUUUUUUUAGAGUUCAUAUUAAAAAAAAAGAUUGCGACCUCGAUGUUGGAUUAAAGUUAAAUUUUGGUGAAGAAGCUAAAAAUUUUAGUCUGUUCGACUAUUAAAACUUUACA
rnacentral:rRNA from 1 species